CACUUUCUUUGGGACUGGACUGAUUUUAAAAGGUGAACACAACUGCACAAUGGCGGCGCCGUGGAGGUGACAGCCCAGCUGUCCAAUAGCAGCGGCUACAGAGCACCCAGGAGUACUUUUUCUUCCUUUUUUUCUUUCUUUCAUCACCCAGCCCAGGGCCUGGUAGAGAUCGACAGUCUUUAAUCCUUCGGUGUUUUUUGUCCGUUACCUGGGUCUUUUGGGCUUUAUCUAUUUUGGCUUCGAUUAGGAAACCCAUCAAUCACGUAGAAAUCCCCGGACUGCUGCCGUAUUUUCACUUUCAACCCAGUGUCCUGCAGGCCAUCUGCUCUGGGCUGGUGAGAGAAGGUCCAUGUGAGGAGCAAAUGUCCCCAGACUGAUGGUGACUGUCAGGAACUGUUGUUUUGAAAACACUGGGGUUUUCUUGCCAGGACAAAGUGGGGCACUGUGUUCUGCGCCCCGCUCCCCUUGCUUCUCCUCAAUGUCCCCCUAUCCUCCCCAGGUUGAGCGGUUCCCGCUUCCAACCGCUCCAGGACUUUUAUGUAAAUUACAGCCAAGUUUGGACACCAGCUCUCCCAGUGACCCCCUUCCUCCACCUGUCCCCGACUUGUGGCCCCCCAAAUUCCGAAGCCACCAAAAGCCACUUGAGGUUCAGAAGACUCCGUGGUGUGUUGUGGGGCAGGGAACAGGAGUCUGAGCCCGGGUUUGAGGGGCCUAUACACUGCCAAUAACCACAUGCCCCUCAACUUGGGGACACCCCCACGUGACUCAGAGGCUUUCCUGGUCAGCCAGUAUCCCCCUUAGCCAGGUUUCCCCUCCCCCGCCCACUUCCUAUUCCCGUAGCUGUGCGUAGACAUGUGCGCACCAUAGACUAUAUAUUUUUGGAGAAUGAACCACAGUGGCCAAACUCCGUCAAGGAGGUGGCUCUGAGCCGGCCAAUCAGCGGGGGACCAAGGACAGACCAGCUGAGGCCGGCUGGACGCCGCCCUGACUGGACACCAAACCAGGACCCCGCCAACACCAUAUACCUCCAGUUUUUGGGGUCUCCACGGUUGCUGCCCCCGCCCUGCCCCUCCCACUUUCAUAGCCUUACUUGGGUGACCAGGUGUCUUUAGCUUCCUGCCAGGGGAGACUCCUGUCCCCCACUGCCCACCCACCCAGAUCUCUCUCUCUCUCUCUCUCUCUCUCUCUCUCUCUCUCACACACACACACACACACACACACACACACACACACACACACACACACACACACACACACGGUCCUCCAAUCACCAGCUGUAAACUGAAGGUCUCAUACCCGAGGUCACCGUGAGUCAGAUGUGGCCACACCGGACCCGGUUGCUGACCCCGCAGGCUCCACACUUUCCUUUUCUACGUAUCACCUACCUAUCAUCUAUCUAUCAUCAUGUCGGUGGUCUUUUUCUGAGUGAGUGCCAACAAGACCACUGAGAAGGGCAUAGAGGGAGGGGAUGUGGGGACUCAUGAUAAUCCGCCUUUGAUUCCUAGUUGGAGGUUUGGGAAGCCUGGUGAGAGAGCCCACCUCUUGUAUAUUACCCAGCCUGCCCACACACCCACCACAAAGCACAGAGUCGUUAAUUUGGACAUCCCACCAAGCAGGGGAGGGGGGUCCUGGGGGGGGGUCCAGAUCCCUUCCGACUGGUCCAAAAGCAAACAAAAGAGAUAAAAGUUUUUUAAGGUCUAAAAAACAUGUAAAAACAAGCAAAAAAAAAAAAAAAACCCUUUUCUUUUCUACCAAAAUGUUUGUUGACUGACCUAAACUAAAGGGGGGUUAAAAAACCAAAAAAAAACCCACCCUGAUUCUGCCCACCUUGUUUCUCGUCUCCGGUUUGAUGAUCCCUUGUUCUGAACGUAACACAGUAAGACUUACUGUAUUACGUAGUGUGCGAACGUGUGUGUCCGGGGUGUCGCUGUGUCCCCCCACCCCCACGCAAGUUGCCCGCUGAGUGCGUGCUGGCGUGCGCUGGCGUGCGCACUGUCUAGUUCAUGUUUACGAGCUGUAAAUACCAUUUUUAUACUCCACACAAGAGACCCUACGUGAUUUGUACAACGGGCUUAGUUUCUGCUACGAUGAAUUUCGUGAAAUUUCAAACUUCAAUUUUGGAGAUGAGCAGAGGGGGAGCCAAGAGUGGAGAGGGAUGUGGGGUUUGAGUCUCGCGCCUCCUAUUCGUGAGCGAGCUUCUCAACAUCAAAUCACUUCUCCUUGGUCUGGAAAAGAAGAGACAAAAACCCUAAAAGUUUAUUUAAUAAAAGUUUUACUUGUUAACAGGG
rnacentral:lncRNA from 1 species